ensembl:lncRNA
CUCGGGAAUUCAUCUUCGGCUCAAUGAUUGCAAGGUGACCAGGCCCUGAUGCAGCAAAGCAGGCCCAAAUCAUGAUGUUUCCUCCACCAUACUUUACGGUUGAGAUGAUGUUUUCAUGAUGAUAUGCCGUGCCCUUUCUACGCCAGAUGUAGUGCUGUGUGGUCUUUCCAAAUAGUUCAAUCUUGGUUUCAUCAAAACAUUUUGCCAAUAGUGCUGUGCAGUGUCAAUGUGCUCUUUUGCAAACUUCAGGCGUGCAGCAAUGUUCUUUUCAGUAAGCGGUGGCUUCCUUCGCGGUGUCCUGCCGUAGACACCCUGCUUGUUCAAUGUUUUACGUAUUGUAGACUCAUGAACAGAGAUGUUAGCCAGUUCCAAUGAUGCCUUCAAAUCUUCGGCUGUCAUUCGGGGUUGUUUCUUUACCUCACUGAUGAGUCUUCGUUGUGCUCUUGGUGUCAUUUUGACUGUGCACCCACUUCUUGGUAGAGUAGCAACAGUCCCAAAGUGUCUCCAUUUGUAAAAUGUUUGCCUAACUGUGGACUGGUGAAUUUCUAAAGUCUUUGAAAUCACUUUGUAACCCUUGCCAGCUUUAUGUAAAUCAAACAUUCUUGAUCGUGGAUCCUCUGAAAGCUCUUUUUGGCAAGGCAUGCCUCACAUUGCUUCUUGUGCAGCGCAAACUCCAAAAGUUUGAGGGGUUUUUAUUAGUCAAAGUCGCUGUAGUCCACCGCUCCAAACUCAUUUUCUUAUCGAGACUCCAGGUGUGCUAAAACCUGACUCCAGUGAGCUUUUUUGAGGUCAUUAACUCAAGGGUUCACAUACUUUUUCCACAAGCACUAUAAGGUUUUUUUUGACACAUUAUAUUUGUCAAUACCCCUGACUUAGAUGAAGAUCAGAUCACAUUUUAUGACAAAUUUAUUCAGAAAACCAUGAAAUUCCAAAAGGUUCACAUACUUUUUCUUGCCACUGUAUAGUCUCACAUUUCUGAUGGUCUCUGAGAUCUGAUCAUGUUCUUCUUCUGCUCUACAUCUUCACGUCCUAGAUGUUAGAGUAAUCAUUACAGUUGAUGGUAUACGUAUAAUCCUGGAUGAUUUCCUGCACACCUCCUCAACACAUCUUUAUAAAAACACUGUAGACCCAUGUCAGUAAUACAAAUCUUUUUUUUUUUUUUUACUGCACACACCUGAUUAGACGUUAAUGUGAACAGAAGGUGUCAAUGGUAACACUUACAGUGAGUGAUGGCGCUCCUGUAGGUCUCGAGAUCAGCCUCUUUAAAGAGAACGCACGCUUUAAAGGUCCUUCGGUCUGUUUUGUGAGAGUGGUUUGUUCUCGGUCUGUUUCACUUUCUAUCUCAGGUUUUCUAGCAGUGGAAACCACCGAGCUGUUUACAGUGUGC